CGCGGAGAGCGCAGACCUGGCUGGUGUGGUACAGAGAAGCCAGCUUGGCUACGUGUCAUUCCAUG
rfam:Tupaia chinensis contig32211, whole genome shotgun sequence.